GGCGAACGCUGGCGGCGUGCUUAACACAUGCAAGUCGAACGGAAAGGCCCUGCUUUUGUGGGGUGCUCGAGUGGCGAACGGGUGAGUAACACGUGAGUAACCUGCCCUUGACUUUGGGAUAACUUCAGGAAACUGGGGCUAAUACCGGAUAGGAGCUCCUGCUGCAUGGUGGGGGUUGGAAAGUUUCGGCGGUUGGGGAUGGACUCGCGGCUUAUCAGCUUGUUGGUGGGGUAGUGGCUUACCAAGGCUUUGACGGGUAGCCGGCCUGAGAGGGUGACCGGCCACAUUGGGACUGAGAUACGGCCCAGACUCCUACGGGAGGCAGCAGUGGGGAAUAUUGCACAAUGGGCGGAAGCCUGAUGCAGCAACGCCGCGUGCGGGAUGACGGCCUUCGGGUUGUAAACCGCUUUCGCCUGUGACGAAGCGUAAGUGACGGUAAUGGGUAAAGAAGCACCGGCUAACUACGUG
rnacentral:rRNA from 1 species